ensembl:lncRNA
GGGACAUGGAGGGGAUUGCUCCAGUUGAGCAGUCUGACCUCUUUCAUUUAAAGCAAAAAAACAAAAAAAAAAACAGACUCAUCUCUCUUUCAGAAAAUCAACACAGUAAAGAUUAACCCUGCUAAAGAUAUUCUCAUUUACCCUGGCUUUGUUUGGGCGAUACCUGGUGUUGUGAUGUCAUCCUGCCUAAUAUCCCAAAUAUUGUAUAUUUUCUACACCUUAUCAGGAACUAGUGUUGUAGGUUUGUUUUCUUUCUUUCUUUUUAUUGAAUUCUACCCAAAGUAAGAAGACUGUAACACAGUCAAGAGGUCUUGUGCAGUUGCCUCCUAUCUGAAUCUGCCCAAUGUCUGGUCGACGAUGAUGAGUGGUUCAGUAUUUAGAGCUAUAUCCAGGUAGACUUCUGGUUUCCUUUGUUCUGAAUUCCCAUAUUUAAUUGUAUUUUAUAAACAUGUUCUUUGGUCAAUAAUGAUUUUGAUUUGAUAUUUGCACUUUGAAUUCAUUUCAUGAUUUGUGAAUUGCUUACUUGUUGUAGUGCUUUAACUGACCUGUCAAUUUGUUUUUAACUGGAAGAUGUUUUUAUGCCCCUGCAAAAAAGAUCUGCCUUUUGCACCUUUUCUUAAUUUUAAAGAGUCAUUUUAAUUUAGUUGAUUAUUGCAAUUAGCCUGAACUGUGACAUUUUAAAGUAUUGCUGCAUUUCGUUAAUCCUUUAAUGAUGCCUUUCUCAUUCAUCUCGUUCCACUGAAGCCUAAUCAGCAAUAUCAAAGAAUAUCUUAACUUAAAUGCAUGAUUAUUCUGACAGAGUUGGUUAAAAAUAAAUAUUCAGAUGAAGCAAGUUUGUUAAUAUUCUAAAUGUGUGUUUGUUAAAAACCAAUAUUUUUGUCAAAUUAUUCUUGAAACAUUUCUGCCGCUCGGAAAUGAUAAAUGCGUGCUUGUUAACUGGUAUCAAAUUGUCAAAGUGCAAAAUGCAAAUAAAGUAAAAAAUGCACCCAUUGACUGCCUCAAUGUUAGGUUUAUUCGGUGUUCUGAGUAAAUCUAUCAUGAAAUAUUGGGAGCUCUAGAGGAUGUUGAGUGCACUCAAAGCCAAGCG